UACGUAGGGGGCAAGCGUUGUCCGGAUUUAUUGGGCGUAAAGAGCGUGUAGGCGGCCAUGCAGGUCAGCUGUGAAAACUCGAUGGCUCAACCUCGAGAUGUCGGUUGAAACCGUAUGGCUAGAGUCCGGAAGAGGAGAGUGGAAUUCCCGGUGUAGCGGUGAAAUGCGCAGAUAUCGGGAAGAACACCCGUGGCGAAGGCGGCUCUCUGGGACGGUACUGACGCUGAGACGCGAAAGCUAGGGGAGCAAAUGGG
rnacentral:rRNA from 1 species